rnacentral:rRNA from 1 species
AACGAACGCUGGCGGCAUGCCUAACACAUGCAAGUCGAACGCGUGGCUACGGCCACGAGUGGCACACGGGUGAGUAACGCGUGGGAACCUGCCCGGCAGUACGGGACAACCGCGGGAAACUGCGGCUAAUACCGUAUGAGCCCUGAGGGGGAAAGAUUUAUCGCUGUCGGAGGGGCCCGCGUCGGAUUAGGUAGUUGGUGGGGUAACGGCCUACCAAGCCUGCGAUCCGUAGCUGGUCUGAGAGGAUGAUCAGCCACACUGGGACUGAGACACGGCCCAGACUCCUACGGGAGGCAGCAGUGGGGAAUAUUGGACAAUGGGGGAAACCCUGAUCCAGCAAUGCCGCGUGAGUGAUGAAGGCCUUAGGGUUGUAAAGCUCUUUCGCACGCGACGAUGAUGACGGUAGCGUGAGAAGAAGCCCCGGCUAACUCCGUGCCAGCCGCCGCUGUAACAC